GUUGAAUUGAAGGUUUCAUGUGUUGGGGCCGCGGAGAGAAAUUUGGCCAUAACUUGAGGGAAAGUCUGAUGUGGGGCUGAGGGACGGUCUCGAAUUCAGGGCUAAAUCUCUGUGCAGCGGAUGGUGUGCGCGGAGUUCUCAGCCCCACGCUGAGCCACGCGGGCAGAGCUCUGCUGCUCACUGGUGCAGAUGGUCCCCAGACUCAGCAAUUCCCACAAUAUUCCUAUUGACUAAAAAAGAAGAUGCCGCAGCUGUCAGCCACCCACCUUUAAGGACCGCUCUGAAACAGCAUUGCUUCGUUUGGCAAAGUGCAGCAAGAAGAAGAAAGGGGAUUUUUCCCCCCCCUUUCCCCUGUUUUUUUUCUUUCCCUUCAGUGUUGUGAGCCUCACUUGCCAGAUUUCAUUUCGCCUUUUGUUGUGAAGCUGUUUAGACCAAAGAAGCAUAACGUACCUGUGCUUCGGAGCGGGGUCUGAGCUUCCAUUUAAUUGCCUGAAUCUGGAAGUUGAAUUGUAUUUAAAAAGAAAUGAGGCUAUUAAUAAUAAUCUAAGAACUGGCAGCGCUGUGGCGGUAAAAUAUAGAUUUAAUUUUUAAUCUUGGGCCUGCAGAAGUGUUUUAAAAUAAUGCAGCGGGCAAAGGAGCAAAGGAGCAGGAACUGUGCCUUGAAGAUUCUCCCUGCGCCUUCAGGAGGAUGCUGGGCUGAGCCAAAAUCAAAGCGCUCUGCUGUGCUCGCGCUGUGCUGCUGAGGAGUUGGUUUCAGAGGAGUUCCCUCAGCCGGUCAGAGAUCUCAGCACCCAAGCUCUUAGCAAGCUGCUGCCUUCAACAACAUCCCCAUAAGGAGCAAACUGAAACAGCACAAGGAGUAGAUGUCAGCCUCAGACUGACAACUGCGCUUCUGGUGUCCCAGGGACGUGAAACGAAGCCGCUGCGCUUUGCUGCCGAGCACUGAAACUCUGCACCAACAUUCAAUUUGAUCUCUCGGAACUGACUGCAAUAAAGUGGUUUCGUCAGCACACACUUGUGAUAAAAAGGCGACACGAAGAAAGCCAGCGAGCUGAAAGGCCCUGCGUUUUCCUGGGAAGACAAUAGGAUAUCUGGCUCUUUAUUUGUUUCGUGGAUUCCUUGUGCAGCCAUUUAAAUUCAGCCGAAGGCUCCAAAUGUCUAAACUUUAUCCUGGGCAUUUUAUUUAUUUUUUUUUCAGUGCUGGAAAGGAAUAGAGUUAAGUGUCCCAAGGGGAGUUUUAUAGAAAAUGCUAUGUGCAAUGUUAAUGAGUUGGGAAGGGGUCGUAUGUUUUUUCAUAUAGAGCCUAUGCAGGAACAAAUAUGGAACCGGAGGAGAAACCAUCUGCAGGGACCCAGUGAGGUGUGCCAGCGGGUGAUCCUGGGCUGCUGUCACCCCUAAAUGAUGAACAAAAGACUUCAAUCCCAAGAGCCCCCCGUGCCCCUGCAUGGCUCUGUGCUGGGCUGGGUGAAUAGCCGGGGCUGGAAGAAAUGACAAACUUCUUGGGUGCCACAAGAGAUUGCUUCAGCGUUACUGAUCCUCACUCUGCUCGUUACUGAAAAUGCAUCCAGCAGCUAUAUGGGUCAGACUGCUAAAUUUGUAGACACGGAGUGUCAGGAAGCCUUUUUGUCAACUUCGUACCGUUUAGUAUAUUUGUCCUCAAGUUCAAAGCAAUCCUGGCCCCAGACUUGUGAUAUUUUCUGCCCUUUCCCCUUUCUGUUGACUCAGGCCUCUUCCCUUUGAGGUCAACAUCAAAAUAAAGAUGUAUGUUUCCUCAGCCUGACCAUGGCUCUGAGUCUUUAGAUCAGCAAUCCUAUAGUCCAUAUGUCUUCCCAUCUGUCAGCCAGCAUUUGAAGCCAGCUUGCUCCUCUAUUCUUUCAGACAAGUGUGAGAAUCAGAAGUUUCUUUAAUGACGGUUUCAGGCCUUAAAGCAUUUGCUAAGAUAUUACCUAUUAAGAUCCCUUGAUGGCACCUUGAAUAGAGAUCAAAAGCAGCUGAGUUCACUCCGUAAAUCUCAUCUGGCCUUCAGUUUAGGGUGCUGGGAGAGGGGUGGGGAG
ensembl:lncRNA